UUAUCUGUACGUUCAAAACAAACAUUGCAAUAUUGAUCAAAAAAUUGUUGACUAAUGUUAUUUUAUAUUUUUUUAAGAGUAAAACACAUGUACACAAAUAUUUCCUUUUACUAAUUAUGAGAUUUUCAGGUAGCGUGUGGAGAUUUCAUCUUAUGUUCAUGAGCGCACAACGUAUAAAAUAUAAAAUCAUAAGAAAUGUUUUCUGGUGGUGUGUAGCAGUUAACCGCAUUUAAGUAAAAAUAUUUUAAAAUGAUUGUUACCAGAGCUGAAUUACAUUGAGGUGAGUGCACUUAAUAUAAUUUGGGGUAUUGCAGGAAAAAUUAUAAAUUCCUAAAGUGUUUUUUACUUCCUGACAUGUUUAAAAUUAUUAUUCUCUAUGAGGGUUGUUUGAUACUGCAAGUAGUUUAUCAUGUUUAACAUGUGGAUAGGUUAGGAUUAUUUAUUACAAAUCUGUAAUAUUGAGAUACUGCCCUUGGGUUAGCUGGAUUAAAAAUACAGUGAAAUUUGUUAGGUUAGUAACAUUAUACGUACAGUGAUUCUAAGUACAGUGGAAUUUACAUUUGGUUAGCUUGGGAUAGCACCAAUUAAAAAUUCUGUAAAAUCAAUUGAACGGUUGGAUGUUACUAACCUAAUCUAACCAACCAAUAUACAUUUUACAGUGAUUUUUUAGGUUAUUAUCUCACGUUGCUGCUUUUUGUAUGCAAAAUAAACUUUGGACACUUUUUUUUUAACUUUAAAUAUGUACCUGUAUUUACUCUGAAAAAAGUUUUUUCUAAAUUCAGACUGGUUUUUGAGAAAUCACUGUUUAUAGGUUACAUUACAUUACCUGUGCAGUAAAGGGCCUGUCACCAUGUUGUUCUUUAAUUGAGUUGCAGAUCUUGUUGUUUUUCAUACACAAAUUGUCUAUUUUUUAUUUGGAUAUUGCAAUGCAGUAACAUAAAUUAACACAUUAAAAAAGUUAUGUGACUCCUUAUUGUGCAUUCCAAACCCAAAGCAUCAGUCCUUGAGAGCGAUAUUUUUUGAGCAGUUUAUAGGUGCAAAAUUCUGAUUUUUUACGUGAGACAACACAUAACCUGACAUAUAAAAUAAAUUUUCAUUUUGUAACAAAUGAUUCCUUUUAUACGUCAGGUUACGUGCUAUUGCAGGUAACUAAUCUGCGCUUUGCGCCUCCAUACUGCUAUAAAAAAUCCCUGUCAAGGGUUGGCGUUUUGGUUUGGAUACACAUUAGAGACUCGUAACUUUUUUUAAAACUAUUAUUUACGUUUCAUUAGGUUAUAAUAUUCAAAUAAAAAAUAUAUACAUUCUUAUAUAUAUGGAAAACCACAGGAUCUGCUAUGCAAUUAGAGGGGAAAAUGGUAACAGCUGCUUCACUGCAUAAGCUAUCUAGCGUGACCUGCAAAAUGUGAUUUCUUGAAAACCAGUAGGAAUUAAGAAAAGCUGUUUACAGUUUUAAUAGAUGAAGGUUUUUAGUGUCUGAAGCGGUAUUUUCAAAAUUUUAUAAUUUAAUUUAUGGAUAAGCAGCAACAAAAGAAAAUUACUUUUUUUAAAUUUAGCUAACCAACCAUUCACAUGAUUUUACAAAUUUUGUAUUGAUUAUACUUACCUACUUUAACAUUAAACUACUGUUAAACAAUUUAUUUCAAUUUUUUAAAAAUAUAUUUGGGAAUUAGCGCAGUAUAAUCGAAGACGUUUACUGUAUUGAUGAUUGAUUUACUUUAUUGAUGCACAUUGAAGUUGUAUAAUUGUUGGAUUGGUUAAGCAAAUUCAAGCAUCAAGGGUACUGAUCAAUGGUUUUUAACAUUAUAUUUUCUUAAUGAAUCCAUUGGUAAAACGUUAAAACACUGGAAUGGCUAAAUUUCCAUCGACUGCUUAUGUUUUUUUCCGCAUGCUCACUUGAAAACAAUUACAGGGUUAUACUGUAGUUCACAGUUGCAAUACUUGGUUAGGUUAGUUACAUAAGUGCUGUUAAAUCAUGAAAAUGGUUAGGGAAAGGUAACUUCUUCAUAACUACUGUAAAAUGGUGUAAGCAAUUAUUCUUUAGGUAAGUUUACCUAGACUUUAAAAAUAAUUUAUUUGGCGAAGUACAUAGUACUAAGAAUUACUAUUUAUCAAAUUUGGUUUGUGUGGAAAAGUUGUUACUCUAGGAAAUUUCUGAAUCCAUCUUUGUAGGAAUAUAAACUAAUAUUAUUAGAAACAAAAAAAGAACAAUGUGUGGUAUAUUUUAAUUUUCUAACACGCUCUGAACUCUGCAGUUAUGCGAUUACCGAUAAUAUUGUAAAUCAUUGCAAUAUACAUCCGACACAUUUUGUAGUGAUUUCACUACUGUACUAUGAAGUAAUGCCAUCGACUGCUGCAAAAUAACAUGCUGACAUCUAUUCUUGUGUAGGCAUUUUGUUGAUACGACUAAAAUAUGAACAUAUAGGAUAUAUAUAGAAUCUUACAAAUUUUGGUAACCUACCUACUAAUACUCUCCCCGAAGACUUUGGUUAGAUACUUAAAAAAAAAAAAAAAAAAAAAAAUUAACUGCUUAUGUGACAUGCAUUACGUGAAAUUAAUUCAACUUGUAAACAUUUUGCUUGAGUCAAAGCCUAGAUUUGCUUAAGCUAAUAACAAGCAAUUACAUCACUUGAGGCCCUGAGAAUCAAACUUCUAAAAUUGUGUAGUUACUUGGAUUGUUAAAUACCUAGUUUUUCUGCAAUAAUGGGCACAAGAGCAAUAGAAUUAUGUUUUUCAUAUAAUUUUUUUUCACAUAAAUGAGUUUUUGUCAAAAAGUAUUUGGAAAAAAUAUAUAUUUGAAAGGACAAAGAAAAAUGUUAAUUGUAGUACAUAAAUGAGAAUUUACCAAAAUAUUUAAUGUAUCAAAUUUCUAACUAAAAUGGUUUUGAAAUUAAUUUAUCAUUCUGGUAUGCAUAACUUUUUUCUUUGAUACAUUUAUUUAUCAGUUUCAUUUCUCUUUAGUACAAUAUAAAUCAUUUAACUUUGAUUUCUUUUUUGUUUCAGGCUUGUGGAGAACAGCUUUUUUUUAAUCUACUCUUUGGCUGGCGAAUGUAAAUAAGCAAUGAUUUCGUGAAUGCAGCGAGAGAGUUUAUUUAAUGUAUUUUAAAAUCACUGAUAAUAUUUAUUGAUGUAUUUUAAAAUCACUGAUAAUAUUUAUUGAUGUAUUUUAAAAUCACUGAUAAUAUUUGUUUUGUGGCUGGAAGAUGGUAACCAUGGUGACUUGUGAAUUUUUAUGAAGAUUAAUAAAAAGCAGUAAAAAUUA